rnacentral:rRNA from 1 species
UACAGAGGUCCCAAGCGUUGUUCGGAUUCACUAGGCGUAAAGGGUGCGUAGGCGGUCGGGUAAGUCUGAUGUGAAAUCUCACAGCUUAACUGUGAAACUGCAUUGGAUACUAUUCGGCUUGAGAGUUGGAGGGGGGACUGGAAUUCUUGGUGUAGCAGUGAAAUGCGUAGAUAUCAAGAGGAACACCAGUGGCGAAGGCGAGUCCCUGGACAACUUCUGACGCUGAGGCACGAAAGCUAGGGGAGCAAACAGG